AAAAUAAAAUAUAACUUGAUCAGGUCUUUUUUUAUUGCUUAAUAUGCCAUUUCAAAAUAAGAACUCUUUAUUAUUACACUGUGUAACAUGUAAGAUUGUAUGCGCUUAUCUGCCCUCUCCUUUUAUCAGUUGAUCAGUGCUUCCUAGAAUGUUUAUACUUCUCAGGGCAUGCUUUAUGCUUAUCACUGGCUUGUUUCUUGUUUAUGGCUUGUGAGGAAAAUUCCAUUAUUCAUUUGAGUCAAGGCUUGCAUCUUAUGUUGACGUAUAUGAGUUUUGAAUACUCUUUGGUUGGGAAUUGUCUUUUUUGUCAUAUGAACUGCAAAGAAAACCCUUCUUGGAUUUUUGAGAUGAAGAGUGAGAAUCGUAUGUUUCCUAUCUCAUACAUUCAUUAAAAAGUUAUUAGAUUUAGGAUGUCUGUAAGAGUUGAGGGGUAAAAGAUGGCAACUAUGUAGAGCUCCAUGUGUUCUUUCAAGCCACUUAUUACAGUUGUCUGCAAUAAAGUAUUAGUAUGGUGGGAUGCUUUGUAUUAUUCCGCAAUUGACUAUUUCUAAUUAGGGUUGUGCACUGUUCUUGGGGGAAGGGAACCGAACUGAACCGAAGAACCAUAUCUAAUUGAUAGAAACCGUACCGAACUGAAUUUAUUUUGAUAUUUUGGUUCGGUUUUGGUUCUUCACUAAGAACUGAAUUGAAACCGUACAGGAACCGAACCAGAAUCAUACCAAAUCGGAACCAAAUUGAGAACAAAAUUUAUACAUAUGGUUUUUUAUGUUUUCUUAGAUGUAUUAUACACUUUCAAUAUAAUUAUAUAUAUU
rnacentral:misc_RNA from 1 species